rnacentral:rRNA from 1 species
AACGCGAAGAACCUUACCAGUCCUUGACAUGCCUGUCAUAGUUACCAGAGAUGGUUUCGUCGGUUCGGCCGGACAGUGCACAGUUGCUGCAUGGCUGUCGUCAGCUCGUGUCGUGAGAUGUUGGGUUAAGUCCCGCAACGAGCGCAACCCUCUUCCUUAGUUGCUACCAUUCAGUUGGGCACUCUAGGGAUACUGCCGGUGAUAAGCCGGAGGAAGGCGAGGAUGACGUCAAGUCCUCAUGGCACUUACGGACUGGGCUACACACGUGCUACAAUGGUGGUGACAAUGGGAUGCGAACCCGCGAGGGGGAGCAAAUCUCCAAAAGCCACCUCAGUUCAGAUUGCAGGCUGCAACUCGCCUGCAUGAAGUUGGAAUCGCUAGUAAUCGUGGAUCAGCAUGCCACGGUGAAUACGUUCCCGGGCCUUGUACACACCGCUAC